rnacentral:rRNA from 1 species
UACGUAGGGUGCAAGCGUUAAUCGGAAUUACUGGGCGUAAAGCGUGCGCAGGCGGUUAUGUAAGACAGUUGUGAAAUCCCCGGGCUCAACCUGGGAACUGCAUCUGUGACUGCAUAGCUAGAGUACGGUAGAGGGGGAUGGAAUUCCGCGUGUAGCAGUGAAAUGCGUAGAUAUGCGGAGGAACACCGAUGGCGAAGGCAAUCCCCUGGACCUGUACUGACGCUCA